rnacentral:rRNA from 1 species
GAUGAACGCUAGCGGCAGGCCUAAUACAUGCAAGUCGAGGGGUAUGGGUUGCUUGCAACCCAGAAACCGGCGCACGGGUGCGUAACGCGUAUGCAAUCUACCUUAAUCAGGGGGAUAGCCCGGAGAAAUCCGGAUUAACACCGCAUAACAUUGAGUUGUGGCAUCACAGUUCAAUCAAAUAUUUAUAGGAUUAAGAUGAGCAUGCGUGACAUUAGUUAGUUGGUGAGGUAACGGCUCACCAAGACCACGAUGUCUAGGGGAUCUGAGAGGAUGACCCCCCACACUGGUACUGAGACACGGACCAGACUCCUACGGGAGGCAGCAGUAAGGAAUAUUGGUCAAUGGGCGCAAGCCUGAACCAGCCAUGCCGCGUGCAGGAAGACGGCCCUAUGGGUUGUAAACUGCUUUUGUACCGGAAUAAACCUUCUCUUGCGAGAGAAGCUGAACGUACGGUAAGAAUAAGGAUCGGCUAACUCCGUG